CCCGAGAUGAGUUCUCCCUGAGACUUAAAGUCUCCUGAAGGAACGUUGAAGACGACGACGUUGAUAGGCCGGGUGUGUAAGCGCAGCGAUGCGUUGAGCUAACCGGUACUAAUGAACCGUGAGGCUUAACCUU
rnacentral:rRNA from 1 species